GACGAACGCUGGCGGCGUGCUUAACACAUGCAAGUCGAACGGAAAGGCCCUGCUUUUGUGGGGUGCUCGAGUGGCGAACGGGUGAGUAACACGUGAGUAACCUGCCCUUGACUUUGGGAUAACUUCAGGAAACUGGGGCUAAUACCGGAUAGGAGCUCCUGUUGCAUGGUGGGGGUUGGAAAGUUUCGGCGGUUGGGGAUGGACUCGCGGCUUAUCAGCUUGUUGGUGGGGUAGUGGCUUACCAAGGCUUUGACGGGUAGCCGGCCUGAGAGGGUGACCGGCCACAUUGGGACUGAGGUACGGACCAGACUCCUACGGGAGGCAGCAGUGGGGAAUAUUGCACAGUGGGCGGGAGCCUGAUGCAGCAGCGCCGCGUGCGGGAUGACGGCCUUCGGGUUAAAAACCGCUUUCGCCUGUGACGAAGCGUGAGUGACGGUAAUGGAUAAAGAAGCACCGGCUAACUACGUG
rnacentral:rRNA from 1 species